GACCCCAAGUCAGGCGGGAACACCCGCUGAGUUUAAGCAUAUUAAUAAGCGGAGGAGAAGAAACUUACAAGGAUUCCCCUAGUAACGGCGAGCGAACCGGGAAAUGCCCAGCUUGAAAAUCGGAAGGCUCUGCCCUCCGA
rnacentral:rRNA from 1 species